CUCACUGAAGGUAGACAAUUCAGUAGUUUUAGUUCAUUUUUCAUUCACAGUUGUAUCAGAUACCCUAAUCAAUUUUAGAAAUUUUCAUCAUCCUCAAAAGAACCUUGCACCUACUGUCAGUCACUUCCCACUUCUUCUCAAGCCCCCCAGACCUAAGCCUAGUCAUGAGACCCCUUCAUCAAUGUGAACUUGACUUCUCUGUCCUCAUCCCAGGCUCUCAACAUGUACUGCAGGGAUCACUUUCAAAGAAAUCGCCUUCACACAAGUCUUCAAUCCAGUGUGGUCACUGGACAAGAUCAAAUAUCUUUAGAGAAUUCUGAGGCCAGAUUCCCAGGAAAGCAGACUCUUGAGGUUGCAGAUUUGUGUGCUGAAGCUUUAAUGAGAGAUACUCUUGGGUUAGCACCAUGAAGGGGCUGUGGGAAGCAGAACUGGGUCGAGGAAGAUGUUGAGCUGCGAUGCUGUCAUGACCACAGCCCCAGCCAAUUCUGCAGUGCAUCUGGAGCUCAGAUGGUCCUCUGGAGCUGUUUGUGUCACCCCACCUGGAUGUGGACUGUCCCCGGAGAGGUGAUGCACAACCUUAAACAAAGGCCAUUCCCUUCAGCUGGGGGCUAUUCUCAGAGAAAGUAGUUUGGGAGCCACUGGACAACAAUAUUCCGGAAGUUAGGGAAAUGGAUAUCUUGGUACUAUCGGAGGGUCUGGGCAUAACACCAUGGCAUCUAGUGCUUGGAUUAUUAUAUUGAGUUUUUGAAAG
rnacentral:lncRNA from 1 species